rnacentral:miRNA from 1 species
CAGGAACCUCAUGGGCAAGAGACG